CAAAAUAGAACUGCAUAUUUCAAUUCUGAUUUCAAUUUCUGAUUUCUUUGAAAGAAAAACGAAAAGUUAACACCCUGUGUUGUGUAUAAUUUUAUUACAAAAUUUGUACCUUGGCUUUAUUAUCACGGAACUUUAAACAACCAAGUCAUGGUAAGUAUGUAGAAUGUUUUAUUUCAAAUACAACUGUUUGUUUAAAUUGAGGAUUUAACGUUGUUCAGCUUGAACGAACCUUAAUGAAACGAGGUUUAUUUAUUUAAGUAAUUUACGAUGGGUUGAUCUAAAUUCAGUUAAAAUACACCAGAUAUUUAAAAAAAAAUGUCUAACAAAUAAUUUAUUUACAUAAAUUUACAAUUUAUUGAUUUCUUGUAAUUAUUGAAAAAAUUUAGUUUGCUUAUAAUUUAAGUAAUAUAAAUAAUAUAAUUUAAAAGUAGUUUUCCUCUGUUAAGUUAAAUUUGUAUAACUUUUAAUACAAGCAUAAGUUAGAGUUUACUUUUUUCGAUGAAAAUCGACCCUAACUUCUAGCUUUUACAUUUCAUUCAAAAUUUAAAAACCAUCGAUCGUAAGCCCAACAGUUAAUAUUUUAUGUAAAUAUUUUAAUUUUACGUUUAAGGAUGAGUCAAAUUUCAAUAUGAUUUAAUUUGCAAGAAAUUAAAAAAAGGCUUCGAUAUACUAAGUGAAAAAGCUCACAUAUAAUUAACUUGCACAAUAAUAUCGAAGUGAGGGUAACAACAUUCGAUUACCUCUAUGUUUAUUUUCUGAGGGGGCGUCUCUGUUAAACAAUUACAACAGUAGCCAUAGCCAUCAUAUCAGUUGAAUUAAAUUUGCUUACUGACGGAAUGAAUUGGAUUGGAUUUAUUAGUGGUGGAAGAUUGAUCGGAGCAUUGCACGGAUAGUACUCUUUUUCUCUAGAUCUUAACCAGCAACCUUAAGUGAUGGAGCUAUAAUUGUUGUUUACAUUUUUUUGUUUUUUUUUUCUAGAUGAUGCGGACACGCGGCCUUGACCAUGCACAUUCAUACAUGUACACUUGCACUUAACACGGUUGCUGGAUUAAUGUGACUGGAUUGGAUGUUCUCAAAUUACAACUUUUAAAAUUAUUAUUGUUAUUAAUAUGUUCCGACUUUCAGACAUGAAGACUUACCUAUCUUGAAGUAAAUAUGAAAAAAUUGCGUGUAGAGUGAUCAAGCUUAUUCUUGGCUUACUAAAGGUGGUAGUUAUUUAAUGCGUGAUAGUGAAAACCUUUGAACUGAAAUGGAAAAUACCAUUGUGUCCUUGAAGCUCAAACUCAAUAAACCUUAAGUAGAUAUUCUACAGCUAUGGCCAAAACAAUUGGAACAAAACUUAAUUUUUGAUAAUUAUGUCCUUACUACAUGUUUAAGUAAAAAUAUCUAAAUUUUAAUCAUUUACUUUGAAUAAUAAAUAUUUUGUUGACGUUUCUUAAUAUGUAUGUUAUUUUCAAAGUAGUAUUGGUUUUCUGGCUUUAUUAAAGGUUUAGCAACAAAAAUAGAAACACAA